rnacentral:ncRNA from 2 species
UAAGUGCUGCCAUGUUUUAGUAG